GGCACAAACUUGAAGUACAUUAGUUUGGUAAGGUCCGCCGAUCCUACUAAUCCACUCUACAUCAAAUUUGGGCCC
rfam:Haemonchus placei strain MHpl1 genome assembly, scaffold: HPLM_scaffold0001406